UGGGGAAUAUUGCACAAUGGGGGAAACCCUGAUGCAGCGACGCCGCGUGAACGAAGAAGGUAUUCGUAUCGUAAAGUUCUGUCCUAUGGGAAGAUAAUGACAGUACCAUAGAAGAAAGCUCCGGCUAAAUACGUGCCAGCAGCCGCGGUAAUACGUAUGGAGCGGGCGUUGUCCGGAAUUAUUGGGCGUAAAGGGUAUGCAGGCGGUUUAAUAAGUCGAAUGUUAAAGAUCGGGGCUCAACCCCGCAAAGCAUUGGAAACUGAUAAACUUGAGUAGUGGAGAGGAAAGUGGAAUUCCUAGAGUAGAGGUGAAAUACGUAGAUAUUAGGAGGAAUACCAGAAGCGAAGGCGACUUUCUGGACACAAACUGACGCUGAGGUACGAAAGCGUGGGGAGCAAACAGG
rnacentral:rRNA from 1 species